AAAAUCCGUAGAUAUCACUAGGAAUACCGAAAGCGAAGGCGAUCUCCUGGAACAAUACUGACGCUAAGGCGUGAAAGCGUGGGGAGCAAACGGGAUUAGAUACCCCGGUAGUCCACGCCCUAAACGAUGAACACUAGUCGUCGGAAUGCUAGUCAUUUCGGUGAUGCACUUAACAGAUUAAGUGUUCCGCCUGGGGAGUACGGUCGCAAGAUUAAAACUCAAAGGAAUAGACGGGGACCCGCACAAGUGGUGGAGCAUGUGGUUUAAUUCGAAGAUACGCGAAGAACCUUACCUAGCCUUGACAUUGAUUGAAUACACCAGAGAUGGAGUAGUGCCUUUCGGGGAACAUGAAAACAGGUGCUGCACGGCUGUCGUCAGCUCGUGUCGUGAGAUGUUGGGUUAAGUCCCGCAACGAGCGCAACCCUCGUCCUUAGUUGCCAGCAGGUUAAGCUGGGCACUCUAAGGAGACUGCCUUCGCAAGGAGGAGGAAGGUGAGGACGACGUCAAGUCAUCAUGGCCCUUAUGGCUAGGGCUACACACGUGCUACAAUGGGGCGUACAGAGAGUUGCGAUACCGCGAGGUGGAGCCAAUCUCAUAAAGCGUCUCUCAGUUCGGAUUGGAGUCUGCAACUCGACUCCAUGAAGCUGGAAUCACUAGUAAUCGUAGAUCAGCAAUGCUACGGUGAAUACGU
rnacentral:rRNA from 1 species